rnacentral:rRNA from 1 species
AAACCAACCGGGAUUGCCUUAGUAACGGCGAGUGAAGCGGCAAAAGCUCAAAUUUGAAAUCUGGUACCUUCGGUGCCCGAGUUGUAAUUUGGAGAGGGCAACUUUGGGGCCGUUCCUUGUCUAUGUUCCUUGGAACAGGACGUCAUAGAGGGUGAGAAUCCCGUGUGGCGAGGAGUGCGGUUCUUUGUAAAGUGCCUUCGAAGAGUCGAGUUGUUUGGGAAUGCAGCUCUAAGUGGGUGGUAAAUUCCAUCUAAAGCUAAAUAUUGGCGAGAGACCGAUAACGAACAAGUACAGUGAUGGAAAGAUGAAAAGAACUUUGAAAAGAGAGUGAAAAAGUACGUGAAAUUGUUGAAAGGGAAGGGCAUUUGAUCAGACAUGGUGUUUUGUGCCCUCUGCUCCUUGUGGGUAGGGGAAUCUCGCAUUUCACUGGGCCAGCAUCAGUUUUGGUGGCAGGAUAAAUCCAUAGGAAUGUAGCUUGCCUCGGUAAGUAUUAUAGCCUGUGGGAAUACUGCCAGCUGGGACUGAGGACUGCGACGUAAGUCAAGGAUGCUGGCAUAAUGGUUAUAUGCCGC